GGGAGGCAGCAGUAGGGAAUCUUCCGCAAUGGACGAAAGUCUGACGGAGCACCGCCGCGUGAGUGAUGAAGGUUUUCGGAUCGUAAAACUCUUUUGUUAGGGAAGAACAAGUUCCGUUCGAAUAGGGCGGUACCUUGACGGUACCUAACCAGAAAGCCACGGCUAACUACGUGCCAGCAGCCGCGGUAAUACGUAGGUGGCAAGCGUUGUCCGGAAUUAUUGGGCGUAAAGCGCGCGCAGGCGGUUUCUUAAGUCUGAUGUGAAAGCCCCCGGCUCAACCGGGGAGGGUCAUUGGAAACUGGGGAACUUGAGUGCAGAAGAGGAGAGUGGAAUUCCACGUGUAGCGGUGAAAUGCGUAGAGAUGUGGAGGAACACCAGUGGGGAAGGCGACUCUCUGGUCUGUAACUGACGCUGAGGCGCGAAAGCGUGGGGAGCGAACAGGAUUAGAUACCCUGGUAGUC
rnacentral:rRNA from 1 species